rnacentral:rRNA from 1 species
CCUACGGGUGGCAGCAGUGGGGAAUAUUGGACAAUGGGCGAAAGCCUGAUCCAGCCAUGCCGCGUGUGUGAAGAAGGCCUUCGGGUUGUAAAGCACUUUCAGUGGGGAAGAAAGCCUUGGGGCUAAUACCCUCGAGGAAGGACAUCACCCACAGAAGAAGCACCGGCUAACUCCGUGCCAGCAGCCGCGGUAAUACGGAGGGUGCGAGCGUUAAUCGGAAUUACUGGGCGUAAAGCGCGCGUAGGCGGUCUGAUAAGCCGGUUGUGAAAGCCCCGGGCUCAACCUGGGAACGGCAUCCGGAACUGUCAGGCUAGAGUGCAGGAGAGGAAGGUAGAAUUCCUGGUGUAGCGGUGAAAUGCGUAGAGAUCGGGAGGAAUACCAGUGGCGAAGGCGGCCUUCUGGACUGACACUGACGCUGAGGUGCGAAAGCGUGGGUAGCAAACAGGAUUAGAUACCCCGGUAGUC